AUGCGCUUGCUGAGUUUGUUUGUGUCAAAUGUACGGCGGCUCAAUGAGUUUGUAUCACUGUGGUGGACUUUUGGUGGAGGAACCAGACUGGAUGUUGGAAGUGAUGUCCGUCCCACCCUGACGGUGCUGCCCCCCUCCAGUAAGGAGCUGCAGCAGGGGAAGGCCACGCUCAUGUGUCUGGCCAACAAGGGCUUCCCCUCAGACUGGAGUCUGUCCUGGAAGGUGGACGGCAGCAGCAGCAGCAGCAGCAGCAGCUGGGAGGAGAGCAGGAGCCCCGGGGUGCUGAAGGACGGCCACUACAGCUGGAGCAGCACCCUGAGGCUCUCUGCAGACCACUGGAGGAAGGUGGGCUCUGUGACCUGUGAGGCCACCCAGGGCUCCCAGACUCCGCUCUCAGAGACACUGAGGAGAGACCAGUGUUCCCAGUUCUGACCUGACUCACUGGGACUACUACUACUGGUUUUACUCUGCUACUGCUCUCAGUCUGCACUCGCUCAUUAUCUGUCUAAAUCUUUCUUUACCUCCUCCCACUCUCUGAUUACAUGUUUCAUUGAAUAAAUUUGUUUUUUUGAUUAUUUCAACACAAUAAAGACCAGUUCAUCAAAUAA